UUGUUGGUAAGGUAAAAGCUUACCAAGGCUUCGAUCAGUAGCUGGUCUGAGAGGACGACCAGCCACACUGGGACUGAGACACGGCCCAGACCCCUACGGGAGGCAGCAGUGGGGAAUUUUGGACAAUGGGGGCAACCCUGAUCCAGCCAUGCCGCGUGAGUGAAGAAGGCCUUCGGGUUGUAAAGCUCUUUCAGCCGGAACGAAACGGUUACGGAUAACACCCGUGACUACUGACGGUACCGGAAGAAGAAGCACCGGCUAACUACGUGCCAGCAGCCGCGGUAAUACGUAGGGUGCGAGCGUUAAUCGGAAUUACUGGGCGUAAAGCGUGCGCAGGUGGUUUUGUAAGUCAGAUGUGAAAGCCCCGGGCUCAACCUGGGAACUGCGUUUGAAACUACAAGACUAGAGUGUGGCAGAGGGGGGUGGAAUUCCGCGUGUAGCAGUGAAAUGCGUAGAGAUGUGGAGGAACACCGAUGGCGAAGGCAGCCCCCUGGGUCAACACUGACGCUCAGGCACGAAAGCAUGGGGAGCAAACAGGAUUAGAUACCCUGGUAGUCCAUGCCCUAAACGAUGUCAACUAGUUGUCGGGCCUUUACGGGCUUGGUAACGUAGCUAACGCGUGAAGUUGACCGCCUGGGGAGUACGAUCGCAAGAUUAAAACUCAAAUGAAUUGACGGGGACCCGCACAAGCGGUGGAUUAUGUGGAUUAAUUCGAUGCAACGCGAAAAACCUUACCUACCCUUGACAUGUAUCGAAGCCCGCAGAAAAGCGGGGGUGCCCGAAAGGGAACGAUAACACAGGUGCUGCAUGGCUGUCGUCAGCUCGUGUCGUGAGAUGUUGGGUUAAGUCCCGCAACGAGCGCAACCCUUGUCAUUAAUUGCCAUCAUUUAGUUGGGCACUUUAAUGAGACUGCCGG
rnacentral:rRNA from 1 species